GACGAACGCUGGCGGCGUGCCUAACACAUGCAAGUCGAACGGUCCGGCACUCAACCGACCCUCAGUCUAACUGUAGGGGAAGUUGAGUGCCGGAUAGUGGCGGACGGGUGAGUAACGCGUGGGCAACCAACCCUGUACAGUGGGAUAACACCGGGAAACCGGCGCUAAUACCGCAUGACACCUAGAUGGUGCAUACUGUUUAGGUUAAAGGAUUUAACCGGUACAGGACGGGCCCGCGUCCCAUUAGCUAGUUGGUGAGGUAACGGCCCACCAAGGCGACGAUGGGUAGCCGACCUGAGAGGGUGACCGGCCACACUGGGACUGAGACACGGCCCAGACUCCUACGGGAGGCAGCAGUGGGGAAUAUUGCGCAAUGGACGGAAGUCUGACGCAGCGACGCCGCGUGAGCGAAGAAGGCCUUCGGGUCGUAAAGCUCUGUUCUUGGGGACGAAUAAAAUGACGGUACCCAAGGAGAAAGCCCCGGCUAACUACGUGCCAGCAGCCGCGGUAAGAUCACGUGUA
rnacentral:rRNA from 1 species